rnacentral:rRNA from 1 species
UACGAAGGGGGCUAGCGUUGCUCGGAAUCACUGGGCGUAAAGCGCACGUAGGCGGUUUCUUAAGUCGGGGGUGAAAUCCUGGAGCUCAACUCCAGAACUGCCUUCGAUACUGGAUGGCUUGAGUUCGGUAGAGGUUGGUGGAACUGCGAGUGUAGAGGUGAAAUUCGUAGAUAUUCGCAAGAACACCGGUGGCGAAGGCGGCCAACUGGACCGACACUGACGCUGAGGCGCGAAAGCGUGGGGAGCAAACAGG